rnacentral:rRNA from 1 species
UGCACAUCUUGACGGUACCUAACCAGAAAGCCACGGCUAACUACGUGCCAGCAGCCGCGGUAAUACGUAGGUGGCAAGCGUUAUCCGGAAUUAUUGGGCGUAAAGCGCGCGUAGGCGGUUUUUUAAGUCUGAUGUGAAAGCCCACGGCUCAACCGUGGAGGGUCAUUGGAAACUGGAAAACUUGAGUGCAGAAGAGGAAAGUGGAAUUCCAUGUGUAGCGGUGAAAUGCGCAGAGAUAUGGAGGAACACCAGUGGCGAAGGCGGCUUUCUGGUCUGUAACUGACGCUGAUGUGCGAAAGCGUGGGGAUCAAACAGGAUUAGAGACCCUGGUAGUCCACGCCGUAAACGAUGAGUGCUAAGUGUUAGGGGGUUUCCGCCCCUUAGUGCUGCAGCUAACGCAUUAAGCACUCCGCCUGGGGAGUACGGUCGCAAGACUGAAACUCAAAGGAA